GUGUUCAAACUUGACUUCGCCAAGGCCUUCGACUCCAUCGCCUGGCCCAGUCUUUGCCGGAUCAUGGAGGUGAGGGGUUUUCCCGCUAGGUGGUGUGACUGGAUGGACCUCAUCCUCUCGUCCUCAACGGCGGCGGUCCUCUUCAAUGGGGUGCCCGGGCGGUGGUUCGUCAUCCGCAAGGGGCUGCGUCAGGGCGACCCCAUGUCCCCG
rnacentral:rRNA from 1 species